rnacentral:rRNA from 1 species
AUUGAACGCUGGCGGCAGGCCUAACACAUGCAAGUCGAGCGAGCGGCGGACGGGUGAGUAAUGUAUGGGGAUCUGCCCGAUGGCGGGGGAUAACUACUGGAAACGGUAGCUAAUACCGCAUACUAUCGGAUGAACCCAUAUGGGAUUAGCUAGUCGGUGGGGUAAAGGCUCACCUAGGCGACGAUCUCUAGCUGGUCUGAGAGGAUGAUCAGCCACAGUGGGACGGAGACACGGACCAGAAUCCUACGGGAGGCAGCAGUGGGGAAUAUUGGACAAUGGGCGCAAGCCUGAUGCAGCCAUGCCGCGUGUAUGAAGAAGGCCUUAGGGUUGUAAAGUACUUUCAGCGAGGAGGCGUUACCCGCAGAAGAAGCACCGGCUAACUCCGGGCCAGCAGCCGCGGUAAUUC